CUCAUCCUGCUGUAUAUCCAUUAGUAAUGCAACACUCUAAAAAUAAAGUGCGCCCCGGCGUAUCAGUGCCUAUGAACAUGUUGCCUGUGUAAUCACAUUUUAUAUACUUCUUUUUUAUCUGUUGUUAGGAGAGAGGAAUGGUGGGGAUUUUUUUUCCUCCAUCUUCGCUGUUGCAACAGCCAUAGAUGCAGCGGAUAGGCCAGUUGUUAGAACCGGCAGUUGGGUUUGCUUGGUGAAAGAGCUGGGACCUGAUGGAGUUGGAGUGACUGCGAAAGGGUUUGGAGAAAGUCUGUGCAUGGAGGCUGGGUGGAGCCAUUUCUCCUCUCUUCAGUCAGUAUCCUCACAUCACUGGAUGAUCUGUGAGUGGGGUAAGAUCUUUGACAAGCCAAGCGACAGCCAUGCAGGCAGCAGCAGACAGUAGGAGACAAAGAAGUGAGGUGCCCAGUGGGACAUCCACAGAAGAGGAAAAAGGAGACAGGAGCUGGCACACAGGUGAGGGAGGAGCAAUUUUGUGUGCUCUGGGUUUGGGGAGGGGACUGUGGUGACAGAGAGAAGAAUUUGUGAAGAGGUAUACAAAACUGUGUAUUCUUCCACCCUGCAUUCCAGUCUGGUUUUCCACCCAGACACACACUGCUCAAAGUGACAGCUUCAGAUUCCGGAUCAAUAGAGCUGGGAAUCUUGCAUCUAAUCCUCUCCCUGAUGCAUUUUUAAUUGUGUGAGAAAGCAGAGGAGGAUGAGAUGGGUGGUUGGUAUCACAGUGGGGAGAGUGGGCGCACCUCCUAAGUGUCAUCUGUGUCACUGAAGUUAGACGAGUGACAAAUCAGCUCACACAGAUGAGAAGCUUAGAGGGGAAGUGAUGAAUUACAGAGGACUACCUGCACUUCAUGCUACAGAGGAGAAUUAAGAUCUAAGGUAUGAGUUGUGAUGUUCCAGCAAAGGUCUCUGGGAGCAGUUUUAUCACACCUUUUGCUGCACCUUGAUUAUUGUUUGAUUAAUAAGUUGUACAUUUUCUGUUGCGUUUUGGACCUUUGUCCUCCCAAUGUCCCAGAUUUCAGUCAGGCAUCAGCUCUUAAAAAAGAUGGCCUGACAUGUUACUCUAGAACGUUAAUAAGUAUAGUUAGUAUCAGACUAGCACUGGAUAUACAGGGAACAUGACAGACUUACAAUUUUGGACUGUUUAUUAUAAAAUCAAAAAAGUUUUUACCAUUACCAGUGGUGUCUAAAGUACACACAUUUGUUACUUAAGUAGAAGUAUAGAUACUGAGGUUUAAAAACACUCUGGUAAAAGUUGAAGUAAUUUGACCUCAUUGC